rnacentral:rRNA from 1 species
GUAGCUAUCUUUCGGGGUGGUCAAUUGGUUGUUAUAUCUCCACUAAUAAGCAGAGAGGGGUUAAACCUUUGAAGUAAGUUAUGUGGGUCAAGGUAUAAUGAUUAAUUGGAGUUCUAGUUCAUUUACUUUGAGAAAAUUAGAGUGUUUAAAGCAGCCUCUUGGGGCACUGAAUACAUUAGCAUGGGAUAAUAAAAUAGGAUCUUCACAAUAUAUUUUAUUGGUUUAAAUUGGAUAUGAAGAUAAUGAUUAAUAGGGACAGUUGGGGGUAUUCAUAUUGGGUGGUUAGCGGUGAAAUGCUCGGAUCCAUUCAAGAUGAACUAAAAGCGAAAGCAUUUACCAAGGAUGUUUUCAUUAAUCAAGAACGAAAGUUAGGGGAUCAAAGACGAUCAGAUACCGUCCUAGUCUUAACUAUAAACUAUACCGACUCGGAUUCAGAUGAAUCAAAAAGUU